rnacentral:ncRNA from 1 species
AGCGAUAAAGGCACACCCGCCGAAAGACGGGGCCGCAAAGCCACGGGGCUACAGGAAGCGGGCGCCGCGCAGAGUCCGCCUCCCAUGCCAGCCGGGCUGCCGCUC